GACGAACGCUGGCGGUGUGCUUCACACAUGCAAGUCGAACGAGGUAGCAAUACCUAGUGGCGGACGGGUGAGUAAACGCGUGGGAAUCUGCCUUUAGAUGGGGGAUAACGGGUCGAAAGACUCGCUAAUACCGCAUAUGACGAAAGUUGAAAGGAGUAAUCCGUCUAAAGAUGAGCCCGCGUCCGAUUAGCUAGUUGGUAGAGUAAAAGCCUACCAAGGCGACGAUCGGUAGCUGGUCUGAGAGGAUGAUCAGCCACAAUGGGAACUAGAGACACGGCCCAUACUCCUACGGAGGCAGCA
rnacentral:rRNA from 1 species